GUGGUUCACAUCAGUCCAGCAUCUUCUGCCCCUAUACCGAUGGGUCCCAAAGGUUUUCUUCUGGGCCCCCCAGUGGGUCCCAAAGGUUGUCUUCUGGGCCCCCCAGUGGCUGCCAAAGGUUUUCUUCUGGGCCCCCCAGUGGCUGCCAAAGGUUUUCUUCUGGGCCCCCCUAUGGAUUACAAUAAAAUCCCCCCCAAAAAGAUAAAGAA